UCUCUUCAAUCCCCUCGCCGCUAUUCCUCACCGAUACUCUUGUCGCAAACACGACGCACUGACGUGGCGUUAAAUUUUCCGCCGCAACCGCGUGAUACUUACGGCUGCCGCGAGAGUCGCGUUGCAGAGACGUUUCGAGUGAAUCGAACGAAUCGUUCGGCAUUCUCUGCCCUCAUCGUCCGACGAAAAAACGUCGAGGGGAGGAAUACAGGAAGAAAAGAUGAAGAGACAAUGACAAGAAGACGACAGAAUAGAUGAACAAGGACAGAGUCGUUGACGAUGAUCGUGAUGAUGACUGACGUCGAUGAGUGCCAACGCGACCCUCAGCGUCCCUCCGACCCGUGAAGGAGGCUUCUUGUCAAAGAUCGAGAUCAGCUGACCGAGCAGACGUCGGCGUCAGCUGAUUUUGACAGCCGCAGCGACCUUGUGCGCGUCCUUGCGGCACGUGCCACCGACCAAUCCGGUCAUCCGGCACGCAGCCAUCUCGACCAAUGAGAAUGCAGUGAGACGCACAGUGCGUUAACAACCGAAAUUACCGGAGCAGCAACAAGCCAAACACACGCGACCAGCACACCACCACUGGUACAAAACAAAAUGAUUUUUUUCUCGUCCUUAUCCGUGACCUCUCCAAUGUCGAGAGCCACUCCAAGUACCUCGUUGACCUCCCUUUCGAGGGCACCUAGUUCGGCUACGUGUACGUUGUAAAACAGCUGAUUCAAGGCGCAUGGAAAAUAUACGUACUGCCUAUAGGUCUACACUGACUCCACAUACCUAUAUGUAUAUAUACAUAUACAUGCCAACAAAAGAUAUUACGAAAAAAAUACCAAAAAUUCAUUCCCAAUAAGAGUUUUCAAAAUUAAUCACAGUCAAUGAUCCAUCUAAGGAUCCUGCUACGUAAGCGAGCUUGUUAUCAAGCAGAUAUCACUGUACAGUGAUAUAACUGAUAACGACACCAAAUGGAUCCUCGUAUUGGAUAACCCUUGAUAUAUCAGUGACGUACAGAGACACAAACAUAGUAUACCUGGCAUAUGUAAUAUUUUGACGUUUCGAGCGCAGGGAUCAAGCUGGACUACAUGCACAUAGAUUCUAUGUGUUCCAGAGUUUACACUGGGCUAGAUGAGUAGGCAGCGUGUUGGCUAUAUUCACCCCCAAGUGACUCGCGCAACCCCGAUCAAUAAUUCAUUUCCCAGCUGUCACGCUUCCCCAGCAAUGCUACUACCUACCACCACCGACGCCAUUAUCACCCCCCUAUUGCCACCUCCACUAUCAGUAUCACUAGGACCAGCACUACCCCACCGUCAUCAUCGGACACACUGACAGCGUCAUGAACGCACACAGGCGCUUACUCAAUUCCCACUUGUCCUUCUUCCUCGUCCUGUCACGGUCACCUUCAACCUUCAACCUUUUCAAUCUGCCCUACCCAAUCCAACACGCAGUGACGGCACGAGUGACCGAUAAGGAUGGCAAAAGGAAUGCCGCAUCCCUCAGGGUUACGUUCCAGCCUUAAUUACUAAGCUACGGAUUAUUUUCGUUAUUUAAAAUUGUUUUUUUUUUUAAUAACGUGGGACUCGACUCCUCGUAAGAUUUGGCUUUCUCUCGCUGCGUUCCUUUGAAAAAUAAAGGGAAACGGUUAAUCGUGCCUUAUGGUAUCGGAGAAUGAUUUUCUUGUUUCUCUAUGUUCGUCAAUCUUGACUAUGGUUAUGUUCGUCAUCUCUUGCUCUGGUUAGUCUCGUGAAAAUCCAAGUGCGUCGCCAACGCCCCCAGAAAACUGAGAUACCACCAGCUGUGUUCACGCGCUUCUUUACCUACCGAGUGAACGCAGAGUGGCUCCCUGUUCUCCGAGUGCACUUUUGGUUUCCCACCAACAGCUUUUCUUAUCGACAGAGAGUAAAGAUCCCUUCCCUCGGCUGCUGGACAUUUUUUUCUGACAAAUUUUCAUUCGCUUGACCAAACGAGUCCACGCGUGUUAUCUGCAAGAGCCAGGCAAGGCUCAUCUUGCUCGAUCGAUUCGGCUUCAGGACGGAUUCAGCUUCCAGCUGUGACUCGGAGUCUGUCGUACCGGAUGGGACGGUGGGCUAUCAAGGUCGACCUACUCGGCAGUACGUAUCCAGACGAAUCUUCCGAAGUGACUUUGUGGACCAGUACAAGGACGAAGUUUUCAGUGAGGACUUUCACUGAGAUAUCAAAAGUAUAAACGAGGUUUUUUAAGGCCUAUGUAUCAAGGCUUUAAACGUAUUGUGACUGAAGUCACUUCUUCGAGCCUCCGUCGACGGAGACGAUUUCUACGUUUUGGGAAAUAACGACUUGUGUCCCUUCCUCGUCCGGCCAGGAAGAGGAAAGAGGGUUCUUGUCACUCCGAGUAGACCCUGACGUGGCAGGAGACAGUCCAUUUUCAACUGUGACGUAACAAUAGACUUCACAGGGUUCGUCCUCACGAAAAUUCAUACACGAAAUAAAGGCAAAUUCAAUUUUCAGGAUUUCAGCAUCCCUCGUGAAAUUCACGGCUUCUCGUAGAAACAAGUCAAAGUAUGAACGUCGGCCGAGAUGUUAAAUUACGAAAUUCUUAUCAAUAAUCGAAAUCGACGGUAACUCGCUCUACAGACUUAUUCUACUGAAACGUGAUCAUGAAAUAAAUUGAAUUUCUAUCUACCCAAUGUAGCGGCUCUUUAUGCUUGUUUUAUAUUAAUGCUUCGUGAUAGAAGUGCUGCCAUCUCUCAAUACAAAGGCAAACAACGUAGCACGGCCAAUGCGUGAACCUUAUCUGCGAAAGGGGUUGAGCGACUCAAUAAAAAUUGAUCGUAAAUAAUAUAAAAAAGGAUUCAAAACGCAAUUACCCACAUUUAUUAUCUCAUUGACAAUCCCGACAGCCCUUCUCACUGUAAUCUGAAGCCUUGACAGCCUUCGAUAACGUUGGUUCGAUAGACUAUCGAUACUUCCAAUUGUAUCAUGUGAAAAAUAUACGGGCUCAGAAAAUAUAAAAAAUCCGCCAAGUACCCAACAAACAGUACAGCUUUUAUUAGAGGGGGGAAAGAAAAACUUGUUUUCCAAAUCAAUAAGUUUAUCGCAAGAAGUACCAAGUCCUUCUUUUAAUUAUGCAAAGGCUUAAGGCCAGACCAAGGAGAGGGACGUGAAACUUCACGAUGGGGUCUGCGCACAGCAAUUUCCCAACGAGAUCGAUACUUUCUGUGUUCGUGAAUUUCCCAAAGAUCAUGUAUCCAAAAAUUUACCCAUCCCCCCUACCUCGAUCAUUUUUUUUUUUGCGAAACCAACGAUCUAGCAUAUCUGGUAUUUUCCUUCUUUUUUUUCAUUUCUACAAUUUUUAGUAGCCUCGACCGCCUCUGGUCCAACCACUCUUCCUUCUUGCGCCUUCGCUUCUCAUAUUUCCUUCGUUCUUUUUUGUUCCACCUCAAUUCACGGCUCCAUCACGUUUCUUUCUCUUCGUUGUUCUAUACGUCUUUCUACUUUUUCUUCUAGCGGUUGGACCUUACCAGCGUAAUACACGAGAAAGAGAGAGAGAGAGAGAGAGAGAGAGAGAGAAGACGAGAAUGAAAUCGCCUCCAUUUCGCUCGAGCAUAAAUAAAUCUUUCCCGAGGUUCCGGCAAGUUUUAUUGCCUCCAAUUGGCAGAAAAGACAUUUUUACCCGACCCGAGUAAAUUCGAGAAUUCCGCGAAUGCGAACCCGGCCGAGCAGCAUUUUCAUCGUGGAAUGCAUCGACGGAAAUCGUUAAGUUAAUUGAUCGAGCGUAACAAAAAAAAGAAGACGGCGCCUUAACCGUAGAUAAGAGGAGCCAUCGAGAGAGCAAUACAACAAGCAGCGAUAAGGAAUGAAAACGUUACGAACAGUGCGUCGUCCCAUUUACCAGAGGAUAACCAAGUUAAUUGCGCAAAAUAACGAGAAAAUUACGCCAUAGGAGGAAAAAAAUAAUAAUUUUAACCAAACCUGUGAAAUUCAUCGUUUGUCAAUACCGGAAAAGGGUAUUAUCGUCAGGAACGGCUACAUAAAAACAUACACCCGGUGACCAAAGAAAAAAUAUAAAAUUUCGACAAAUAAUACGUAAUACGAUUUCCUACUCAACUUUUAUACCCACCCCCCCUCUUCGUUUACUCUUUACCGUACUUCCCAUAAUUUCGUAUAAUCCAAAUACCAUGCGAUUUUCCAUUAUCACGUAAUCUGCCAGUUAUCGCACUCGUCAAUACUUAUCUUAUCCUACAGGCCAUGGACGACGAUACUUUUUCCAUACAGUUUACACGCUUCUCGCAGCUGGAGU